AUAAUGACCCGAUAGGUCUCGAUUGCUGGAAUGCAUCGAGAUUAAAGCUCCGGCGCCUAAGGAUGGGUCUGCGGCCUAUCAGGUAGUAGUGGGUGUAGCGUACCUACUAGCCUACGACGGGUACGGGUUGUGAGAGCAAGAGCCCGGAGAUGGAUUCUGAGACACGAAUCCAGGCCCUACGGGGUGCAGCAGGCGCGAAAACUUUACAAUGCUGGCAACAGCGAUAAGGGAACCUCGAGUGCCAGGUUACAAAUCUGGCUGUCGAGAUGCCUAAAAAGCAUUUCAUAGCAAGGGCCGGGCAAGACCGGUGCCAGCCGCCGCGGUAACACCGGCGGCUCGAGUGGUAACCGUUAUUAUUGGGUCUAAAGGGUCUGUAGCCGGCCGGAUAAGUCUCUUGAGAAAUCUGGCAGCUUAACUGUCAGGCUUUCAGGAGAUACUGUCUGGCUCGAGGCCGGGAGAGGUGAGAGGUACUUCAGGGGUAGGGGUGAAAUCUUGUAAUCCUUGAAGGACCACCAGUGGCGAAGGCGUCUCACCAGAACGGACCUGACGGCAAGGGACGAAAGCUAGGGGCACGAACCGGAUUAAAUACCCGGGUAGUCCUAGCCGUAAACGAUGCUCGCUACGUGU
rnacentral:rRNA from 1 species